AAUGAAAACAUACAACCAGAGCCCAAUUUCAAUGAUCAAUCAGAAGGACUGAACUGAUCCCUGACCCCAUUGGACGGCCACCGGACUCUUAACAACGUGUUCACCGUCUGUCCAUUCGAUCGACCCGAAUUCAUGACCCGGCA
rnacentral:sRNA from 1 species